UGCAUAUCAAUAAGCGGAGGAAAAGAAACCAACAGGGAUUGCCUCAGUAGCGGCGAGUGAAGCGGCAAAAGCUCAAAUUUGAAAUCUGGCGUCUUUGGCGUCCGAGUUGUAAUUUGAAGAAGGUAUCUUUGGGCCCGGCUCUUGUCUAUGUUCCUUGGAACAGGACGUCACAGAGGGUGAGAAUCCCGUGCGAUGAGAUGACCCGGGUCUGUGUAAAGUUCCUUCGACGAGUCGAGUUGUUUGGGAAUGCAGCUCUAAGUGGGUGGUAAAUUCCAUCUAAAGCUAAAUAUUGGCGAGAGACCGAUAGCGAACAAGUACAGUGAUGGAAAGAUGAAAAGAACUUUGAAAAGAGAGUGAAAAAGUACGUGAAAUUGUUGAAAGGGAAGGGCUUGAGAUCAGACUUGGUAUUUUGCAUGCUGCUCUCUCGGGGGCGGCCGCUGCGGUUUACCGGGCCAGCAUCGGUUUGGAGCGGCAGGAUAAUGGCGGAGGAAUGUGGCACGGCUUCUGCUGUGUGUUAUAGCCUCUGACGAUACUGCCAGCCUAGACCGAGGACUGCGGUUUUUAACCUAGGAUGUUGGCAUAAUGAUCUUAAGUCGCCCGUCUUGAAACACGG
rnacentral:rRNA from 1 species